AAUAGCCUAACGGCUGAACCAGCAACUUGGAGGAAUGUAUAGCAAUAGCUGAUUGCAUCAACAACUUGUUGAUGCAAUAUCGACUCUGUCGAAUAAAAUUCUGGGUAGAGUUAUGAUAAUGACAUUGUCUGCCUAUGUGUCUUGACCAAAUUACGUGCCAGCAGUCGCGGUAAUACGUAAAAGACUAGUGUUAUUCAUCUUUAAUAGGUUUAAAGGGUACCUAGACGGUAAAUCAAGCCUACUUAGGGACUAAUUUACUAGAGUUACUUAUGAGGGGGUAUUAAAGUACUGCUGGUGUAGAGAUGAAAUUCUGUCAUACCUCUUUUCGUAUGAAAAAUAAUGGCACAGGUAUAGGCGAAAGCAUCCCCUUAUGUGAUAACUGACGUUGAAGGACGAAGGCUUUGUGUCGCGAACAGGAUUAGAUACCCCAGUAGUCAAAGCAGAAAAUGAUGAAUGUCAUAGAUUAGAUUUAAAAUUUUUUAUUCUAUAAAUGAAAGUGUAAGCAUUCCACCUCAAGAGUAAUUUGGCAACAUUGGAACUGAAAUCAUUAGACCGUUUCUGAAACCAGUAGUGAAGUAUGUUGUUUAAUUUGAUAAUCCGCAAAAAACCUUACCACAAUUUGAAUACUUAUAUUGCUUAUCUCUUUUUCUAUGUAAACAUUUGUUAAGCUGGACCGUAUGGUACAGCUAUACUCAGAUGUUUACACAAAAAGAGAUAAGAUGGUAUAUCUACAAGCGUUGCACGGCUGUCUUCAGUUAAUGUCGUGAGACUAUGGUUAGUUCCAUUAAAUUAACGUAAACCCUUACUUUAUUUUUUAUAUAAAGUUGUUCCCCACUAUAUUGGAUAUGAUAACAGGG
rnacentral:rRNA from 1 species